rnacentral:rRNA from 1 species
UCGGGAAUAUUGCGCAAUGGAGGAAACUCUGACGCAGUGACGCCGCGUGCAGGAAGAAGGUUUUCGGAUUGUAAACUGCUUUAGACAGGGAAGAACAAAGACAGUACCUGUAGAAUAAGCUCCGGCUAACUACGUGCCAGCAGCCGCGGUAAUACGUAGGGAGCAAGCGUUAUCCGGAUUUAUUGGGUGUAAAGGGUGCGUAGACGGGAAAACAAGUUAGUUGUGAAAUCCCUCGGCUUAACUGAGGAACUGCAACUAAAACUAUUUUUCUUGAGUGUUGGAGAGGAAAGUGGAAUUCCUAGUGUAGCGGUGAAAUGCGUAGAUAUUAGGAGGAACACCAGUGGCGAAGGCGACUUUCUGGACAAUAACUGACGUUGAGGCACGAAAGUGUGGGGAGCAAACAGGAUUAGAUACCC